rnacentral:tRNA from 1 species
GGGGCGGUAGCUCAGCUGGUUAGAGCAGCGGACUCAUAAUCCGUCGGUCCUGGGUUCAAGUCCCAGCCGCCCUACCG